AUGGAGGCCGAGAUGUACGUCCACCACGCCGAGCCCCUCAGGGCGAACACUGCCACGUGCAUCCCGAGGCUGCACGGUGGCGGCGUCCGGCGUCGGCCGCCCCGUGGCGCCGCUCCGGCAUCCACGGCGUCGGCGUCCGUGAUGGACCGCGUCAGGGACGUCCUGCUGCGGCUGGCGAUGCUGUCGGCGGCGUCCACGUCUCCUAAGGCCGGCGCUCGCCUCCCGCAGCACACGAUGGCUGCGGCGCCGACGAGGGCGGCGUCCGUGCGCAUGAGCCCCUCCUACUCCGAGUCGUACCCGAGCGACGCCGUGGACGACUGCAUCGAGUUCCUGAAGCGGUCGGCGGCCGGCAAUGGCGCCGUCGUCUCUGCCCCGGCUGGAGCCGCCGCCGCAGAGUCAGUGAGCUCGGCCCCGCCGCCGUCGCCGUUGCACGCGUGA
rnacentral:rRNA from 1 species